rnacentral:rRNA from 1 species
AACGAACGCUGGCGGCAUGCCUAACACAUGCAAGUCGAACGAGACCUUCGGGUCUAGUGGCGCACGGGUGCGUAACGCGUGGGAACCUGCCCUUAGGUUCGGAAUAACUCCCCGAAAGGGGUGCUAAUACCGGAUAAUGUCUUCGGAGCAAAGAUUUAUCGCCUUUGGAUGGGCCCGCGUUGGAUUAGCUAGUUGGUAGGGUAAAAGCCUACCAAGGCGACGAUCCAUAGCUGGUCUGAGAGGAUGAUCAGCCACACUGGGACUGAGACACGGCCCAGACUCCUACGGGAGGCAGCAGUGGGGAAUAUUGGACAAUGGGCGAAAGCCUGAUCCAGCAAUGCCGCGUGAGUGAUGAAGGCCUUAGGGUUGUAAAGCUCUUUUACCCGGGAUGAUAAUGACAGUACCGGGAGAAGAAGCCCCGGCUAACUCCGUG